rnacentral:rRNA from 1 species
AACGAACGCUGGCGGCGCGUCUUAAGCAUGCAAGUCGAACGGUAAGAGGAGAGCUUGCUCUCCUCCUAGAGUGGCGGACUGGUGAGUAACACGUGGGUAACCUACCUUUGGGAUGGGGAUAGCUCCUAGAAAUAGGAGAUAAUACCGAAUAAGCACUGCACUGGAAGUGGUGUAGUGGAAAGGAGCUACGGCUUCGCCCGGAGAGGGGCCCGCGGCCCAUUAGCUAGUUGGGAAGGUAACGGCUUACCAAGGCGACGAUGGGUAUCCGACCUGAGAGGGUGAUCGGACACAUUGGGACUGAGAACAGCCCAGACUCC